CUGCGGAUGGGAAAUAGUCCCCCCUCUCUCCAUUUAUAAAUAGAAGUUUCCAAUAUCCUACUUGGAAGACUUUCCAAUACUGCAGGCCCAAGCAUUGACUGAUUUUAAGGGUCUGUUGAUAGUGACGAUAAGGCUAUCUAUUUGUAAAAACAGAGCAACUUGAAGGAGAAAGCAGAUAGAAGUGGGAAUUCUCCAACUGGUUAUUUCCUCUAUGCUCAGUUUCUAAGGGUUCUACCCCUUGCUUUCAUGAAAACAAAUGUUCCAUUUUUAUUCUGGGUUUGGGACAGGAAUGGGACAGUAAACUCUUCAGCUAUCGUUAGCUGAGCCUUAAAGAGUUCCAGUUAUUGGUUGAGUAAAUGGUAGCCAUAACUAGAUGUCAAAAUUCUUCCUUCCCUCUCUCCUUUGCUGGGUAGCCACACUCACAACCCACUUUGUUGUGAAAAAUUCAGAUUCACAGGAGGUGGUGCGGCAGCGCCACCCCUCGGUGGAUGAAACUUAUCUAUUUGCAAAAGUCAAAUAUUUGAAAAAUAUUGUGAAAUGACCUUAUGAGGAUUUUUUUUUUU
rnacentral:lncRNA from 1 species